CAUUUAGGCAAACAUGGGGGUUGAAGGCAGGGUAACCCAUGCCCCAACCCCAAAAAAAAAUGGGAAAAUCUGAAAACCAAGUACAAGGAAUGCAAGUGUCCCACCUCAGGACAAGGCACUGAGGACGGGAAACUGACGGCAGCGACUUGGCCCUGGUUUGUCCUAAUGGAUGAGGCAUUAGGGCAGUCUGCGGCGGUCUCUUCCCCCUGCCUGAUUGCCUCCAUC